UACGGGGGGGGCAAGCGUUGUUCGGAAUUACUGGGCGUAAAGGGCCAGUAGGCGGCCAACUAAGUCGGAUGUGAAAUCCCCAGGCUUAACCUGGGAACUGCAUCCGAUACUGGAUGGCUUGAAUUCGGGAGAGGGAUGCAGAAUUCCAGGUGUAGCGGUGAAAUGCGUAGAUAUCGGGAGGAACACCAGUGGCGAAGGCGACUUCCUGGCCUGUUCUUGACGCUGAGGCGCGAAAGCUAGGGGAGCAAACGGG
rnacentral:rRNA from 1 species